GGAGGCUGUAACUCAGUGGCAGAGCAUCUGCUUUUCACACAGGAGGUUCCAGUUUCAAGCCCUGGCAUCUCCA